rnacentral:rRNA from 1 species
AACGAACGCUGGCGGCAUGCCUAACACAUGCAAGUCGAACGAGACCUUCGGGUCUAGUGGCGCACGGGUGCGUAACGCGUGGGAACCUGCCCUUAGGGUCGGAAUAACUCCCCGAAAGGGGUGCUAAUACCGGAUAAUGUCUUCGGACCAAAGAUUUAUCGCCUUUGGAUGUGCCCGCGUUGGAUUAGCUAGUUGGUAGGGUAAAAGCCUACCAAGGCGACGAUCCAUAGCUGGUCUGAGAGGAUGAUCAGCCACACUGGGACUGAGACACGGCCCAGACUCCUACGGGAGGCAGCAGUGGGGAAUGUUGGAAAAUGGGCGAAAGCCUGAUGCAGCAAUGCCGCGUGAGUGAUGAAGGCCUUAGGGUUGUAAAGCUCUUUUACCCGGGAUGAUAAUGACAGUACCGGGAGAAUAAGCUCCGGCUAACUACGUG